UACGUAGGGGGCAAGCGUUAUCCGGAUUCACUGGGUGUAAAGGGAGCGUAGACGGCCAUGCAAGCCUGGAGUGAAAGCCCGGGGCCCAACCCCGGGACUGCUCUGGGAACUGUGCGGCUGGAGUGCGGGAGGGGCAGGCGGAAUUCCUGGUGUAGCGGUGAAAUGCGUAGAUAUCAGGAGGAACACCGGCGGCGAAGGCGGCCUGCUGGACGAUGACUGACGUUGAGGCUCGAAAGCGUGGGGAGCAAACAGG
rnacentral:rRNA from 1 species